UGGGGAAUAUUGCACAAUGGGCGCAAGCCUGAUGCAGCCAUGCCGCGUGUAUGAAGAAGGCCUUCGGGUUGUAAAGUACUUUCAGCGGGGAGGAAGGCGAUGCGGUUAAUAACCGCGUCGAUUGACGUUACCCGCAGAAGAAGCACCGGCUAACUCCGUGCCAGCAGCCGCGGUAAUACGGAGGGUGCAAGCGUUAAUCGGAAUUACUGGGCGUAAAGCGCACGCAGGCGGUCUGUCAAGUCGGAUGUGAAAGCCCCGGGCUCAACCUGGGAACUGCAUCCGAAACUGGCAGGCUUGAGUCUCGUAGAGGGGGGUAGAAUUCCAGGUGUAGCGGUGAAAUGCGUAGAGAUCUGGAGGAAUACCGGUGGCGAAGGCGGCCCCCUGGACGAAGACUGACGCUCAGGUGCGAAAGCGUGGGGAGCAAACA
rnacentral:rRNA from 1 species